AUACGUAGGGUGCAAGCGUUAAUCGGAAUUACUGGGCGUAAAGCGUGCGCAGGCGGUUUUGGAAGACAGAGGUGAAAUCCCCCGGCUCAACCGGGGGACUGCCUUUGUUACUGCAAGGCUAGAGGACGGCAGAGGGGGAUGGUACUCCGCGGGUAGCGGUGAAAUGCGUAGAUAUGCGGAGGAACACCGAUGGCGAAGGCAAUCCCCUGGGCCUGUACUGACGCUCAUGCACGAAAGCGUGGGGAGCAAACAGGAUUAGAUACCCUGGUAGUCCACGCCCUAAACGAUGUCAACUGGUUGUUGGGUCUUCAUUGACUCAGUAACGAAGCUAACGCGUGAAGUUGAUCGCCUGGGGAGUACGGCCGCAAGGUUGAAACUCAAAUGAAUCGGCGGGG
rnacentral:rRNA from 1 species